rnacentral:lncRNA from 1 species
AAACAAGAUAGAAAAAAAACCCCAAACCCUUGUCCCAAUCCACCAGUCUGAAUUAGUUGCUACCACUGUAUGUCUCUGUGUCCUUACAUGUCAAAUGCCUGAAGAGCUCCUGUUGUCUUCUCAAACUCUCCCAGAUGGUAAGCUCCCAAGGAACCAGACGAAAUGAGAAUAUGGGAGGAGCAGACCCACUGAAGCUCUUUGAGUUCUUAUAUUUGUUUUUCUUAGUAACAUGUAAUAACUAAAAGAGAACAAUUGAGUCCGACAUCCUCUGCCACGGUUAGACUUUCAGCACAGACAUGCUUUAUAUGUGGAUCUCGAUGAAGACGAAAACGAUUCGAGC